UUUCCGUAGGUGAACCUGCGGAAGGAUCAUUACAGAGUUCAUGCCCUUCGGGGUAGAUCUCCACCCGUGUUUAUUUAUACCUUUGUUGCUUUGGCGGGCCGCCUGGGUCCCCUAGCCGCCGGCCCCCCAGCUGGUGCGCGCCCGCCAGAGGCUCCUAACCCGAACUCAACCGUGUUGUCCGAGCAAAACGUACCAAUCGUUAAAACUUUCAGCAACGGAUCUCUUGGCUCUAGCAUCGAUGAAGAACGCAGC
rnacentral:misc_RNA from 1 species